rnacentral:snRNA from 1 species
GCUAGCGAGUAAACGAAGC